CGCACGGGUGAGUAACACGUGAGUGACCUGCCUUUUAGACUGGAACAACUUACCGAAAGGUGAGCUAAUGCCGGAUGAGUUAUAUAAGUGCAUGUUUAUAUAGGAAAAGUUGGGGAGACCUGACGCUGAAAGAUGGACUCGCGUCCCAUUAGCUGGUUGGUAGGGUAAUGGCCUACCAAGGCGACGAUGGGUAGCCGGCCUGAGAGGGUGGCCGGCCACACUGGGACUGAGACACGGCCCAGACUCCUACGGAAGGCAGCAG
rnacentral:rRNA from 1 species